AGUGAACGCUGGCGGUAGGCCUAACACAUGCAAGUCGAACGGCAGCACAGUAAGAGCUUGCUCUUACGGGUGGCGAGUGGCGGACGGGUGAGGAAUACAUCGGAAUCUACUUUUUCGUGGGGGAUAACGUAGGGAAACUUACGCUAAUACCGCAUACGACCUACGGGUGAAAGCAGGGGAUCUUCGGACCUUGCGCGAUUGAAUGAGCCGAUGUCGGAUUAGCUAGUUGGCGGGGGAAAGGCCCACCAAGGCGACGAUCCGUAGCUGGCCUGAGAGGAUGAUCAGCCACACUGGAACUGAGACACGGUCCAGACUCCUACGGGAGGCAGCAGUGGGGAAUAUUGGACAAUGGGCGCAAGCCUGAUCCAGCCAUCCCGCGUGGGUGAAGAAGGCCUUCGGGUUGUAAAGCCCUUUUGUUGGGAAAGAAAAGCAGCAGGUUAAUACCCCGCUGUUCUGACGGUACCCAAAGAAUAAGCACCGGCUAACUUCGUG
rnacentral:rRNA from 1 species